UUAAUUUUUGUCAGUUGUGGAAUGUUGUAUCGACAUACAUACAUGUUAUAUUUCGAAGUGCAAACAUCGUGUCAGGAAAAAUAAUAACUUGUUGCCUUUUUACAGAAACAUAUAUCAAAAGCCGCGAGUUUGUGUGCAUGCAUGCCAAAACAGUGACGCCAACCAAUCAUAUGACGCGUAAUUUGCAACAGCAUCCUAGGUUGUAACGCGCUGGCCAAUCAGAGUACGCUCUUUGAAUUUACAAUCGCGCGCCAGGCCUGACGACCGUUGACCUUGCUUCGCCAACCGCCAUGACAGUACUGCUGCAUGUGUCAUGUGUGUUCCAGCAACGUGCAAUCGCCGUCGUUUUACUGAAAUAUCAGACCAAUGGGCUCAUGACCAAGUGAUUGAAGACAGUUCAUCAAUGAUGGCCAGAGUCAGAGUGGAACCUGAAGACAGCAGGUGACGGGACAAAUAUGUCUUUUCAAUUAAAACAGCGAGUAUCCAAGAAACUUCAGAAUGGCAAGGUGAUGGAUGUUGCUGGUUGCUGAUUGUUGCAUCUCCUGCCAAGUUUGCGCCAGAAAGGAGACGUGAUGGAGGGACAUGCCUGGGACCCAUUCACCUUCAUCUUAAGUCUUACCAUUGUACGGUCAUUACUUAAAAUACAACAGUAUCAAAUAUUUUAAUACACGUAUCUGAAUAAUUGAUCAAUGUUCUCUUCUAGGGUGACUGUUAUUUUUCCAUAAGUGUUCAACAGGGAAAAGUUCUCAAGUUAUGGAAACUCAACUACUGUCUUUAAGGUAGAAUGGACCAUUUUCCUUUACAUGUUUGAAAUGUUUCAUUUGAAGCAACAGAAGUGCUUACGAAUCUAAAGAUUGGAACUGAAAAUCAAUCUCAUAAAGUUUUAGUUCAGUGAAUGCUUUAUUUAGGGGAGAACACAUUUUCUUGAUCUUGAUUUAGUCAAAGUUUGUUAAUGCAUGAGUGCCUAAUUCUCGCUCAGCCACCAAACUGAUGACUAAUGGCAACGAAACUAAUGUUUUGCAAAUGCAACCCCAAAACAAGUUUGGGUCGGGUCAGGUUGUUCAUUUCAGUAGGGUCGGUGUUGGUUUUGCAUUUGCGAUUUUCAGGUCAGUUAUUGUACAAAGCCAAAAUAAUUGGGGGAAAAACCCAGAAACAGUUCGGAUAUUCGCACGGUUCAGUCAUUUUAUUGCAGAGUCUUUGUGCUGGGUACAACAAACUGUGGUUUAUAGUCUAUCGUGUGCUGUUAGUAUUCACUGUACCUUAUGGUUCGUUACAAUUAUUUAUACAUGUAUUUAAACCAAGUUCAAAAUUUUACGCAAUAAAUAUUUCUUUGAAACAUGCAUAAUGGAAA